rnacentral:rRNA from 1 species
UACGGAGGGUGCAAGCGUUAUCCGGAUUUACUGGGUUUAAAGGGUGCGUAGGUGGGUAGGUAAGUCAGUGGUGAAAUCUUCGAGCUUAACUCGGAAACUGCCAUUGAUACUAUUUAUCUUGAAUACUCUGGAGGUAAGCGGAAUAUGUCAUGUAGCGGUGAAAUGCUUAGAUAUGACAUAGAACACCAAUUGCGAAGGCAGCUUACUACAUAGUUAUUGACACUGAGGCACGAAAGCGUGGGGAUCAAGCAGG